rnacentral:rRNA from 1 species
UAGGGAAUAUUAGAAAUGGACGAAAGUCUGAUCUAGCAACACCGCGUGUGCGAAGAAGGCCUUCGGGUCGUAAAGCACUUUUUGGAAGGAAUAGGAAGGAAUGUACUUCCAGAAUAAGUCUCGGCUAACUACGUGCCAGCAGCCGCGGUAACACGUAGGAGGCAAACGUUAUCCGGAUUUACUGGGCGUAAAGCGCGUUUAGGUGGUACUGUAAGUAGGGCGUGAAAGCUCCUGGCUCAACUGGGAGAGGCCGUUCUAAACUACAGAACUAGAGGAUGGUAGAGGGAGGUGGAAUUCCAGGUGUAGCGGUGGAAUGCGCAGAGAUCUGGAGGAACACCGGUGGCGAAGGCGGCCUCCUGGACCAUUCCUGACACUCAGACGCGAAAGCUAGGGUAGCAAACG